AUUGAACGCUGGCGGCAGGCCUAACACAUGCAAGUCGAGCGGAUGAAGGGAGCUUGCUCCUGGAUUCAGCGGCGGACGGGUGAGUAAUGCCUAGGAAUCUGCCUGGUAGUGGGGGAUAACGUCCGGAAACGGGCGCUAAUACCGCAUACGUCCUGAGGGAGAAAGUGGGGGAUCUUCGGACCUCACGCUAUCAGAUGAGCCUAGGUCGGAUUAGCUAGUUGGUGGGGUAAAGGCCUACCAAGGCGACGAUCCGUAACUGGUCUGAGAGGAUGAUCAGUCACACUGGAACUGAAACACGGUCCAGACUCCUACGGGAGGCAGCAGUGGGGAAUAUUGGACAAUGGGCGAAAGCCUGAUCCAGCCAUGCCGCGUGUGUGAAGAAGGUCUUCGGAUUGUAAAGCACUCUAAGUUGGGAGGAAGGGCAGUAAGUUAAUACCUUGCUGUUUUGACGUUACCAACAGAAUAAGCACCGGCUAACUUCGUG
rnacentral:rRNA from 1 species